AUACGAAGGGGGCUAGCGAUGUUCGGAAUUACUGGGCGUAAAGCGCGCGUAGGCGGACUGAUCAGUUGGGGGUGAAAUCCCAGGGCUUAACCCUGGAACUGCCUCCAAUACUGUCAGUCUUGAGUUCGGGAGAGGUGAGUGGAAUUCCUAGUGUAGAGGUGAAAUUCGUAGAUAUUAGGAAGAACACCAGUGGCGAAGGCGGCUCACUGGCCCGAUACUGACGCUGAGGCGCGAAAGCGUGGGGAGCAAACAGGAUUAGAAACCCUUGUAGUCC
rnacentral:rRNA from 1 species